AUUGAACGCUGGCGGCAGGCCUAACACAUGCAAGUCGAGCGGAGCGGCGGACGGGUGAGUAAUGCCUAGGAAUCUGCCUGGUAGUGGGGGACAACGUCCGGAAACGGGAGCUAAGACAGCAUACUAUCAGAUGAGCCUAGGGCGGAUGAGCUAGUUGGUGGUGUAAAGGCCUACCAGGGCGACGAUCCGUAACCGGUCUGAGAGGGUGAUCAGUCACACUGGAACUGAGACACGGUCCAGACUCCUACGGGAGGCAGCAGUGGGGAAUAUUGGACAAUGGGCGAAAGCCUGAUCCAGCCAUGCCGCGUGUGUGAAGAAGGUCUUCGGAUUGUAAAGCUCUGUAAGUUGGGAGGCGUUACCAACAGAAUAAGCACCGGCUAACUUCGUGCCAGCAGCCGCGGUAAUUC
rnacentral:rRNA from 1 species